UCCGUAGGCGGGAAGAUAAGUCAGUGGUGAAAGCCUGUGGCUCAACCAUAGAAUUGCCAUUGAUACUGUCUUUCUUGAGUGCACAUGAUGUGGGCGGAAUGUGUCGUGUAGCGGUGAAAUGCUUAGAUAUGACACAGAACACCGAUUGCGAAGGCAGCUCACAAAAGUGUAACUGACGCUGAGGGACGAAAGCGUGGGGAGCGAACAGGAUUAGAUACCCUGGUAGUC
rnacentral:rRNA from 1 species